UGCUGUGUAUGAUGAGAAAAUUUUCCAAAUCAGUUAUCCCUGGCUGAUUUUCGUUAUGAUGAUAUCUUGUAAUCUGACACAGAC
rnacentral:snoRNA from 1 species